AUACCUCAACCCUCAUGGCUUGCCAUGACGGGCUUGGACUUUGGGGGUCUUGUUGGCCUGUGAGCCAGCUCCCCUUAAAUGAAUUAGCUUACCGGUGUUUGGUGGCGUCACAGGUGUGAUAAAUAUCUACGCUUGUGGUUUCCCACCAGGGUAACCUUCAGCAAUGGAGGUUCGCUGGAGCUCAUAAACGUCUCUUCCCAGUGAGGACAGAUUUUGACC
rnacentral:misc_RNA from 1 species